rnacentral:rRNA from 1 species
GAAUAUUGGACAAUGGGGGGAACCCUGAUCCAGCCAUGCCGCGUGUGUGAAGAAGGCCUUUUGGUUGUAAAGCACUUUAAGCGAGGAGGAGGCUACCUGGAUUAAUACUUUAGGCUAGUGGACGUUACUCGCAGAAUAAGCACCGGCUAACCCUGUGCCACCAGCCGCGGUAAUACAGAGGGGGCGAGCGUGAAUAGGAUUGACGGGGCGUAAAGCGUGCGUAGGCGGCCAAUUAAGUCAAAUGUGAAAUCCCCGAGCUUAACUUGGGAAUUGCAUUCGAUACUGGUUGGCUAGAGUAUGGGAGAGGAUGGUAGAAUUCCAGGUGUAGCGGUGAAAUGCGUAGAGAUCUGGAGGAAUACCGAUGGCGAAGGCAGCCAUCUGGCCUAAUACUGACGCUGAGGUACGAAAGCAUGGGGAGCAAACAG